rnacentral:rRNA from 1 species
UACAUGGGGUGCAAACGUUGCUCGGAAUUAUUGGGCGUAAAGCGCGCGUAGGCGGUUACUUAAGUCGGAUGUGAAAGCCCUCGGCUUAACUGAGGAAGUGCACCCGAAACUGAGUAGCUGGAGUACGAAAGAGGGUCGCGGAAUUCCAGGUGUAGCGGUGAAAUGCGUAGAUAUCUGGAGGAACACCGGUGGCGAAGGCGGCAUCCUGGACCAAUACUGACGCUGAGGAGCGAAAGCCAGGGGAGCAAACGGG